UUCAUAUGGACAAUAUGGAGGAAUACUAGCAACACUGAUCUGAUGCUGGACUGUACCUCCAGACUAGGAGAACCUGAUACACAGAGGAAGGAAAAAUGACUCAUGUCUGGAUUUAAGAUACAAUUCACAUUUGUAUUAUCUAGAAACAGCUUAUAUGAAGUGUUUGUUCUACCUGGAAGAUGUUAAAGUGUAUUAGUGUUGAUUAUGAUUCUGUAUGAGUGAUCUUCACUGUAACAGCUGCAGCAACACAACACAGAGAGGUUUUUGUACCAGCAGUAAUAGUGAUUGUAUUACUGUGGAGGACUUUUGGUAGCGGCACCAGACUUGAUGUUGGAAACUAAAGAAAUGAAGAGCGCCAAACAUGCAGGAGGUUUUUGUACCAGCAGUAAUAGGGAUUGUAUCACUGUGGUGCACUUUUGGUAGCGGCACCAGACUUGAUGAUGGAAGUAACAGUGCCCCCACCCUCACCAUCCUGCCCCCCUCUAGUGUGGAGCUGUCCAAUACAACAACAGCCACACUGACAUGUCUGGCCAACAAGGGCUUCCCCUCAGACUGGACCAUAAGAUGGAAAGUGGACGGGACCAGCCAGAAGCAGGAGGCCAGUUCUAGGGUCCUGGAGAAGGAUGGCCUGUACAGCUGGAGCAGCACCCUGACUCUCACUGCCCAGGAGUGGACCAAGACAGGAGAGGUGACCUGUGAAGCCCAGCAGAAUUCCCAGAAUCCAGUCAUCAAGACCUUGAGGAGGGCUGACUGUUCUGGGUAGACCCCCUAAUCACACAACCCUGUGGAGAGAGGCUGCUGGUUCCUCUGCUUUGACUCUGUUCUGAGAUCAGAUGUUCUCUGUCUUUUGAUCACUGACAUGUCGAGUAACAGGGGGCUUUGCUUGAGUUCAUGAGUCAGUCCUCUCUGGAGACUGAGAUUGAAUCGGUAUUAGAUUUGAUGAGUUCUGUUUUGUUACUAUUAGAUACUGUAGGAAUGUUUGCUUUGAUGCUUUGAUGAAUAGAUGAAAAUAAAGAUUUCCCUUUGGACACAUA